rnacentral:rRNA from 1 species
AUUGAACGCUGGCGGCACGCUUAACACAUGCAAGUCGAACGGCAGCACGAAGGGUAACUCUUUGGUUGGCGAGUGGCGAACGGGUGAGUAACGCGUAGGGAUCUGCCUGUUAGAGGGGGAGUAAGCCGGGGAAACGUCGGUCUAAUACCGCAUACGCUCUACGGAGGAAAGUAUGGGUUUAAGUUACCAUACGCUAACAGAUGAACCUGCGUUAGAUUAGCUAGUUGGUAGGGUAAAGGCCUACCAAGGCGACGAUCUAUAGCUGGUCUGAGAGGAUGACCAGCCACACUGGAACUGAGAGACGGACCAGACUCCUACGGGAGGCAGCAGU